rnacentral:rRNA from 1 species
UACGUAGGGUGCGUGCGUUGUCCGGAAUUAUUGGGCGUAAAGAGCUCGUAGGCGGUCUGUCGCGUCGAUCGUGAAAACUUGGGGCUUAACCCUGAGCUUGCGGUCGAUACGGGCAUGACUGGAGUUCGGCAGGGGAGACUGGAAUUCCUGGUGUAGCGGUGAAAUGCGCAGAUAUCAGGAGGAACACCGGUGGCGAAGGCGGAUCUCUGGGCCUUACCUGACGCUCAGGUGCGAAAGCUAGGGGAGCGAACAGG